rnacentral:rRNA from 1 species
UGUAUAAUGGGUCAGCGACUUAUAUUCUGUAGCAAGGUUAACCGAAUAGGGGAGCCGAAGGGAAACCGAGUCUUAACUGGGCGUUAAGUUGCAGGGUAUAGACCCGAAACCCGGUGAUCUAGCCAUGGGCAGGUUGAAGGUUGGGUAACACUAACUGGAGGACCGAACCGACUAAUGUUGAAAAAUUAGCGGAUGACUUGUGGCUGGGGGUGAAAGGCCAAUCAAACCGGGAGAUAGCUGGUUCUCCCCGAAAGCUAUUUAGGUAGCGCCUCGUGAAUUCAUCUCCGGGGGUAGAGCACUGUUUCGGCAAGGGGGUCAUCCCGACUUACCAACCCGAUGCAAACUGCGAAUACCGGAGAAUGUUAUCACGGGAGACACACGGCGGGUGCUAACGUCCGUCGUGAAGAGGGAAACAACCCAGACCGCCAGCUAAGGUCCCAAAGUCAUGGUUAAGUGGGAAACGAUGUGGGAAGGCCCAGACAGCCAGGAUGUUGGCUUAGAAGCAGCCAUCAUUUAAAGAAAGCGUAAUAGCUCACUGGUCGAGUCGGCCUGCGCGGAAGAUGUAACGGGGCUAAACCAUGCACCGAAGCUGCGGCAGCGACACUGUGUGUUGUUGGGUAGGGGAGCGUUCUGUAAGCCUGUGAAGGUGUGCUGUGAGG